rnacentral:rRNA from 1 species
UACGAAGGGGGCUAGCGUUGUUCGGAAUUACUGGGCGUAAAGCGCGCGCAGGCGGUUCUUCAAGUCAGAGGUGAAAGCCCAGAGCUCAACUCUGGAAUGGCCUUUGAGACUAGAGAACUAGGGUACGGGAGAGGUGAGUGGAGUUCCGAGUGUAGAGGUGAAAUUCGUAGAUAUUCGGAAGAACACCAGUGGCGAAGGCGGCUCACUGGCCCGUUACCGACGCUCAGGCGCGACAGCGUGGGGAGCAAACAGG